rnacentral:lncRNA from 1 species
UUGGUUCAUAUUUGUACAACUAUCUUCUCCUGUUUAUUUUUUCCAGAAUCCAAAACUUUUUUCCAGAAGCCAGUUCUUAAUAACAGACCUCAGACUAACACUUAACACUUACUACACAAAGAGCUCAUCAUCUAGCACGGGUCUCACAACUCUAAGCUCAAAGUCACCCUACCUGUGAUGAUCAGCAAACUCAAAAUGCCCUUAACAACAUCUCCACUAGGCUCAAAACAGGUACAAAUGUAACCACUUCAUCCCUUCUCAAUGAUUGGCUUUGCUGAUUCAUUAAAAUAAAUAUAGUGAUGCAAGGGUUAAAUAUUCAGCACCCAACAUCUUUGAUAGCACACUCUGCCUGGCACCUACUGGACAACAAUGAAACACUACUCCAGUGGAACUAAAAACAGCACAAGAUUAAAGUAAGUUCAGAAACCAUCCUUUCCUCCGCUGAGCUAAAGGAACAAUCAGAUUUUCCCCAGACCUCUGGGAAUGGAGCCAAUCAUUCCAAAUCGAAGACCAACUCUGACCAGUCCUUUCCCAGUCUGUUGGGACUUGCGCUGACCACUGGCUCAGCCCCAGUUCUAAAGCUUCCAUGACCAAAACAGAACCCAGGGUUUGUCUAAAGGUAGCAGAGGAUCAUCCUACCCUCACCUCCAUGAGUGACACUGAUUUGCACCGUGUGGUUCCCGAGGAAAUUUUUAUUCAACCACCAGCAGCAAUACUAUCUGUAAGUUUAUCUUUGGACUUUCUUAAUGACCUUCAGUGCUUUCUACCAUUUCCAAUAGUAGGAUGCAUAGUAAAGAGGAAAACCCUAUGUAUGUAGUCUCUUUACUUCUAGAGUUUAUUUGAAAAUAUUUCAUAUGAAAUUGUAAGAAGAGGGCCGGGAAUUUAGCUCAUUGGUUCUGCUUCCUGCCUCACAAGCACGAGGUCCCAAGUUCAAUCCCUGGUACCCAAAAAAAAGAAUAAAAGACACUAGAAAUGUUAGUAUUUGGAGGACAGGCACACUGAAGUGGAGGGGAGCAGGGGAAAUCCUGAGGCAUCUCUCAGGUAAGGAAAGGACAGAUCCAACACCAUCAAGAGUGAGGCUUAGAACACUGAAAAGUGGAGUAUGGGAACACUGAACUCAUUGUAGUAAUGCCUGUGUGAGUUAGAGGACUCCAUGGAACUCUGUGCUCUAGAUCCAGGUUGAGUGAGAAAGUUCAGGUCAUAGAACCACUUUCCAGAGGCAAAAAAAAAAAGCCUUUUAGACAUUUCCCAAGACCAGAAUCCAUUCUACACAGGUAUUCAGUUGUGUGAGGUAUAGAAAAGUAGAAGGAAAAAAAUCUCUGUCUUCAAAUUUCAUCAGGGCAUAAUUCUUUCAAAAUUCGUAUGAUGAAAAAAAUCAAAGGACUUUAAGUUGGAGACUUUCCCUAGAAAACCAUGGAUUGACCAGCCUGAUGUCCACAUCAAGGUGUCUAUGAUUUUACUGGUGAGCUGAAGAGAUGGUAUGAAUCAGAUCUUGGCAAGACAGAGCACAGGAGUAGCUGUCAUAAAAAGAGAAUGGAAGUGGCCCUUGGGGAGGAAAUUUUAAGGCACAUGAACCAUAAAUUUCUAUAUAUGUAUGUGUAUACAGACAUAUAAAUACACUUAUAUGAUUAUAUGCUUGUACAUAUAGUGUAUAAAAGUACACAUGUGGUUUCUAAGAUGAAUAUAUGGCUUGUAACUAGAUGUUCCCCCAAAACCUCAUGUGCUCAUAAGGUAGGGCUUUUCCUAGGUGGCUGGAUCUAGAGGGUGUGAAUUUGAACUAAGGGUGUGUGAAUAUGGAUUAAGGGUGUGUGCUAACUAAAUUAGUCCACUGUUUGGUUUAGCAUAAUUCUGGGUAUGGAUAAUGGGAAGGGCCACCGUGGGUGUGGCUGGAACCCACCAAUAGGCUUGUAGCCUGGAUGGGAUAUAAAGGGAAAGAUGGAAGGUGGGCUCACUGCUUUAGGCCUGCCAUGCCAUGAACUGUUUCUCCUCUGUGAUAACCCUCUGCCACACCACCCUACCUUAAAGCCAACUAACUAUGGAAUAAAAUCUCUACACACUGUGAGCUGAAAUAAACCUCUCCUCCUUUAACUCGUGAGUGUCAGGUAUUGUGUCUCAGCAACAAGAAAAGUAACUAAGGCAAUCUUAGAAAGCAAUUUCAGGAAAACUCUCCAAAAUCAAUAGAAUGUGAAGAACAGUUUCUGUCUUCCAGACAACAUCUCCCCAGAUUGACUGGGAACACACUGCAGGGAGGAUGAUGUUGAGAAUUGGCACAUUCACAAUGGACAUACUUAACUCCGAAUGCCAGCAUUAGUUUAAGAUUUCACUUGAGCUGGGUCUGUAGCUCAGAGAUAGGGCAAUUGCCUAUUACUAAUGAGGCCCUGAGUUUGAUCCCUGGCACCACCAAAAAAAAUCACUUGAUUUAAUCCAUUCCUCUUAUUUUGUCUGUUUUUAUUGUUACAGUUUAAAUGGGUGACUCUGUGUGGCAAAACCGAAAGGAUAGCCAGUUUGAACUAGGUUCAAGGUUAGUUGUUUGAACUAGGUUGGUUGGUAUAGAAAAUGAAAAUGUUCUGCCUGAUUUCUGCAUAACUCAAACAAGAAGCACAAAUAGCAUAAAUGUCUGACUGCAAUCUCAAAAAAACCUAUUUUUUAAAAAGAAGCUACUACUGUUUUUUUUGUUCUUCUUCUUCUUCUUUUUCUUGCAGCUCCCAGGACCUAUUCUUUCCCUUUGGAAGCCUCUUGUGAAUAAAACUGCUACCAGACCAUGAAUAAAUCAACAUUUCAAUACUAUGUCCUCCUGGAUCUCCUCUUUCUCUUCAGCUCUUCUUUUUUCCCUUAAAUUCCUCCCCAAAUUGUUAUACAGGUGGAUACUUCCCUUUCCACCCCCCUCAUCAAGUCUCUGAAAUAAACUGACAAUAAAUCAUGAUCAGCAGAUGACUUUGAUGUUCAAAAUUCAUUAUGACUCACAAGAGCAUCACAUGGGGGAAAGUAAUUACACAAAAGCCAGGUAUAAGCUAAAUGUCUGUAUAUCCUCUUCCUAAGAUAGAGGGGAGGGGGUGACAGCCAGCAAGGGCUAUCCUCCUGUGCAGAUGAAGUCUCCCAGUGACAGCCAUCUGUGGCCAUCUCCAUGUGAGUCAGGUUUCAGAUCCCCAGUCUCCUCCUAGGAAAAGAUCUUUCCUAGCAGAAGGGGAGUUGUCAGCUAGAAAAAGCCUCUGCCUGAAUCCACUGUUCACUAAGAUCAACGAAAUUUUUUUCACACCAGGACAGCUGUUCAGAGCUGUUUCUGUGUCUGCCUUGCUCUGCAGGUUCCCUGAAUAACCAACUGCACAUGUGCCAAAGAAAUGUAUUUGGGGAGGUAUUUUUACUCUUCCACACACUUAAACAGCCCUUUAUGAAAAGUAUAACUCAAAACAUCUUCAUUGCAUAGAAAUGUAUAUAGGCAAAAGGCAGGUUCUCUUUACAGACAAUAAUAGUUUGCUCAGUUGUUAGUAUCCUUCA